rfam:Suillus luteus TH-Slu-Lm8-n1 unplaced genomic scaffold CY34scaffold_9, whole genome shotgun sequence.
GGCCGACUAGCUCAGUUGGUUAGAGCGUCGUGCUAAUACCAAGUCUUGGUACGCGAAGGUCUUGGGUUCGAUCCCCACGUUGGCCA